rnacentral:misc_RNA from 1 species
UACGUAGGGGGCAAGCGUUGUCCGGAAUUAUUGGGCGUAAAGCGCGCGCAGGCGGUCAUCUAAGUCUGGUGUUUAAGCCCGAGGCUCAACCUCGGGACGCAUGGGAAACUGGGUGACUGGAGUGUAGGAGAGGAAAGUGGAAUUCCACGUGUAGCGGUGAAAUGCGUAGAGAUGUGGAGGAACACCAGUGGCGAAGGCGACUUUCUGGCCUAUAACUGACGCUGAGGCGCGAAAGCGUGGGGAGCAAACAGG